rnacentral:rRNA from 1 species
CUACGGGGAGGCAGCAGUGGGGAAAUCUGACAUGGCGAAAGCUUGAUCAAGCGACGGCGCGUGGGGGAUGAAAGCCUUUCGGGGUGUAACCCCUGUUGCGAGGGAGGAAUAAGGCCUGGAGGAAAUGCCAGGGCCGAUGACUGUACCCUCGCGAGGAAGCCCCGGGCUAACUACGUGCCAGCAGCCCGCGGUAAUACGUAGGGGGCGAGCGUUACCCGGAUUCACUGGGCGUAAAGCGGGUGUAGGCGGCUCGGUAAGUCGGGUGUGAAAUCCCACAGCUCAACUGUGGAAUUGCGCCCGAAACUGCUGAGCUUGGGGCCGGUAGAGGGAGACGGAACUGCCGGUGUAGGGGUGAAAUCCGUAGAUAUCGGCAGGAACGCCGGUGGGGAAGCCGGUCUCCUGGGCCGCGCCCGACGCUGAGACCCGAAAGCUAGGGGAGCAAACCGGAUUAGAUACCCGGGUAGUCCUAGCCGUAAACGAUGCCCACUAGGUGUGGGGGAUUAAUUCCUCCGUGCUGUAGCUAACGCGUUAAGUGGGCCGCCUGGGGAGUACGCCCGCAAGGGUGAAACUCAAAGGAAUUGGCGGGACCCCGCACAAGCGGUGGAGCGCGUGGUUUAAUUGGAUGCUGAGCCAAGAACCUUACCAGGGCUUGACAUGCAGGUGGUACCGACCCGAAAGGGGAGGGACCCCAUCCUUUUGGAUGGGGAGCCUGCACAGGUGGUGCACGGCCGUCGUCAGCUCGUGCCGUGAGGUGUUGGGUUAAGUCCCGCAACGAGCGCAACCCCUGCCCUUAGUUGCCAUCGGUUCGGCCGGGCACUCUAAGGGGACUGCCGGCGACGAGCCGGAGGAAGGAGGGGACGACGUCAGGUACUCGUGCCCUUUAUGCCCUGGGCUACACACGCGCUACAAUGGGUGGUACAAUGGGUUGCGACCCCGCGAGGGGGAGCCAAUCCCUAAAACCACCCUCAGUUCGGAUCGCAGGCUGCAACCCGCCUGCGUGAAGCCGGAAUCGCUAGUAAUCGCGGAUCAGCCACGCCGCGGUGAAUACGUUCCCGGGGUU